rnacentral:misc_RNA from 1 species
UUUCCGUAGGUGAACCUGCGGAAGGAUCAUUACUGAGUGAGGGCCCCUCGGGGUCCAACCUCCCACCCGUGUUUAACGAACCUUGUUGCUUCGGCGGGCCCGCCUCACGGCCGCCGGGGGGCAUUUGCCCCCGGGCCCGCGCCCGCCGAAGCCACCUGUGAACGCUGUCUGAAGUAUGCAGUCUGAGACAAUUAUUAAAUUAAUUAAAACUUUCAACAACGGAUCUCUUGGUUCCGGCAUCGAGAAGAACGCAGC